GCGGGCGCUCCAGUCCUCACCUGAGCACGCCGACGCUUCCGCGCGUGCGCCGCGCGGCCACUAGAUGGCGUCAGUCAAACGUGCAAAACGCGGGCGCCGGCUCCACACGCUCCCGCCCGGCGUCGCUCAGGAAGAGGAAGGGCGGGCUGAGGCAGGUUGUGGAGAAGAGGCAGGGACAGCGUGUGGGUAGGACUGAGGUUCUCGGUGAAACAGACCAUCAUCUGAGAGCAAAGACGUUGGAAGGGCUGUUGGAGAUUCGAGUAGUGACAAGCUGUGAGACGAUCACCACACAGAGUCACAGCAUGAACGGAACAGGAAGAUGUAGAAGGAAUGCCGACACUCCUGGGGGUUUGCGGUCGUGGAUUUAAGUCAAGCAGUGCAUUCUCCCAGUGGAUUCUCAAGACAGGCUGCAUGGAAUGUGGCGUUGCCUCUCUGGACAUGCACCAUUUGUUUCCAUCGUGGAGAGGACCUGAUCCCCACUGUCCUCUAGGUGACUAGGACUCUCCCACAAAGGGGCCCCUCUUCUGCAGCCAGGAAGACCAGUCCAGGACAUGCCUCUGCAAUCAUUUGGUUUAGUAAGUAUCUGUUGAGAGAAUGUUGAAUGGACACACCAGGAGAAGAGGAGACCAAGCCAGACACUGGAGGAGUCUUAUGGGGUAUAAAUGGUUUGGUUACAUAAAUUGCCUUUGUACCACCCAAGUCAGAGCUACAAGCAUGCCCAUCUCCAGACAGGGCAAACCACAUUGCUAGAAGAGAAGAACUAAGACACAGAUAUGCUUUCACAAGCCUGCUGCUUCCACUGCCGUAGAGGACUAGAGCCAAAUAUAGGACUUGUUGACUGAGAAGGAAGUCUCAGAAUGUUUUUGAAAGUAUCACGUAAAGGGAUACCAUCCAGGUAAGUGGAAUCCAGCAAACUGGAGUCAUCAGCUGACUUCAAGGAAAAGGAAACAUUAUUCGUCAAGUAACUCCAGUGUGCCUGAUUCAGGUCAGGACCAACAAACCAUAGCCUGAGGGUAAGUAAAUGCUUUACCUGAUUUUCUACAGCCUGUGAACUACGAAAGUUUUUUGCAGAUGAACAUUUGCAAUUGAUUUGAUGAUGCAGGAAAAUUAACUUUUAACCCAAAUUAAGGGACAUGCAAUCCCCCCCCCCAAAAAGAGUCCCAUUUUCUUAUUAUAGACAUGCUAUUAAGAAAAAAAGGUACUCAAUUAUUAUUAUUAUUUUAGUAUGUUAUAUGUUAUAAUAAUUGUUGUCUCGAAUUUUUUGAACACACACAUUUGUUUCCUCUCUUGUAUAAGUACCCACAUAAUACUGUUGAUUUUGCCUCUUGGUCUACAGAGCCUAAAAUAUUUACUAUGUGGUUCAUUAUAGAAAAUGUUUACCUUACAAUUGCAACAACUUACGUUACAGAUGAGAAAAGUGAGGGUCUUCGCAAAAGAUAAGUAAGUUGUUGAAAGUUACCUGGCUAUUGACAAUGGUGCAGAGAUUGUGGGGAUUUCCAAAAGCAAAUUCAUAGCAGCAAUCUGGGAGGAAAUGGAAAAGAACAAAAACCAAUUAUGGUGGGUGGCAUGGGGUUCCUGGCUCAGAACACACCUUCCCUGGGUUCCUGAACUUGUUUUUGGCCAAUCGAGCGCCUGGACGUCUGGACCCAGGAACACAUCAGAAUGACCUCAGGAUCCCGUGGGAUUCUCAAACAACCCUGGGGACAUCCUAUUCUCCUCUCUCCACUCCACUGGCUAAAGUAUUUACAAAAAAAUUUUAAAGCUUUUCAAUAGCAAGGUUUUAUGUUAAAGCAUGUUAGGUAAAGCCUAGUGAAGCUGUUAAGCACGUGAGCCUUGUGGCAAGAACACCUGCUUCAACGCUCAGCUCCACUCUUCCUAGCUGUGUGACCUUGGGCCAGGGAACUCGAUGGGGGCACCUCAAUUUGCUCAUUUUUUAAAUAAGACAUAACAGAACCUAUUCAUAAGUCUUCUGUGAGCUGCAAGGGAGUUAAUAUUUGCAACAUGAUCAGUGCAGUACCUGGCAUAGCACGAGCACUUUAUCAGCAUAUAUUAAAUAAUAAAAUAAAUGCUCAAUUAAUCAGAAAAUUAAAUCUCUACAUCCAAAAAACACAUCUCUUCACUUUCUAGUUAAUCAGAAUUGUCCUGUGUUAAAUGCUUCCCAAAAGACAGAGUCAAAGAAGAGAAACUUGAAAGCAAUAGCACUGUCUCAACUUCCCUGACGUGAUCAUUCUCUGGCAGGGGGCAGAGAAGCAUGAGGAGCAUGUAUUCUUUCUGCCACCUUCAGCCUAGGGAUGUACUGCCCAACUCUCUGAUCUAGAAAAAUGACCUGGGGUCUCAGCAGAUCACAAUUAUUUAUGGUAUCAUUAAUCCAGAAAAAUGCAGCCCAUUGGUGACAUCUUGCCCUUUAACAUCGGGAGAAUAUGUUUGUUUCCAUGUUUCCACUCUCGGGUUUCAGAAAGCCAUACUCAAGUGUACUCCUGCCUAUACCUUAAUUAAGAUUCUUCACCACUCCCCCUCCCCCCCCCCGACACAACACACACACAAAUGGUGCUCAGUGCUGCUAAGGGUGUGAGACAGACACUCUCAUACCCUGUCAGUUAGGAAAAGCAAUUGCGAUAUUUCCAUCAAGAGCCUUAAACAUAAUCUUAGCCAGAAAUUCCACUUCCAAGAAUAUCCCUCAAAGACAUCAAGACAAAAAGGAUGUGCCUGGUGGGGUGGUGGGUGGGAGUUGUAGAAUUUGAAAGGGAAGAACUUAGUCUGACUCACUCUGGGAGUUGCCUGGGAGGUGUGUGGGCAUCUGAAACCAGAGGGCAGUGGGUGGUGCGUGUCUGGGGGUCCUUUUGUGAGCACACCUGCCACCAGUGCGUGCCCAUGCUGUAGAGCCACCUGCCACAGAACACCACAGCACCUACCAGUCCCAGCGCGGUUCACCCACGUGUCACAAGCUUUGUCUACCCGACUCAGAGUCGAUCUGGGAGCCAGACCCGACUCUACCCUGGCUAGUAGGACAAUUCCUGGGCUUUUGUGGGUUAACUUCAUGGAAAUGAGUCUGGCCAAAGGACAGAGGACACGCUAGGACACACUCUGCGUCCUGUAGGGGACUGGCCUGGCUCAGUCAGGCCUGAGGCUCGGCUGUGCCUUCUGCUCUAGCCUUUUCCUCAGCUCAGUCGGUCUUGGGGACCUACUAUGUGAGAAAGUGUCUUGAAAGUAAAAUUUGUAUACAAAUAUGAGGGAUUAUUAUCUACAUCCACAAGAUUUCAGAGUCUUUUAAUCUUCUUAGGUUAGAUUCUCAGAUGCCCUAGGGUGUCUUGAAUUUUUUUUUUUAUCAUAACUCAAGGUAAUUAAUCUCCAAUUACCUGGAUAAUGAAUCAGCAAAUAACUGGAAUGCUACACUUCUAAGGGAAACUUUCAGAAUCAAGUAGGGGACCCCAGAUCAAUAUUGUUAAUAUUGAGAGGUGCAGGGCGGAGGGUGGGUUAAGACACUCACACAUUUAACAUAGAAGAGGAACUUGCAUUGAGUCAAUGAGAGACGGCAGAGCUGGGAUUUGAACCCAGGGCGUCUGACCAUGAGCCAGAGUGCUUUCCCCAAACUGCAACUGGUCUUUCAGCAGGGCUCAGCAUUUCCGUGUGCUGUCAGGCCUCUACUGCACAAAUGUUCCAACUCACAUUGAGGACAUCUAAUCUGUUCUGUGAUUUCUGGAGCCACUUGGGAAAUGGAAGAGGAAUUACCCAGAUGCGUCAUUCCAUGUCAGCAGGUGAACUGUAACGGAGCUUUCAUUACUAUUUCAUUAUUUAUGUAUUUGUUGAGAAACAACAAAACAGAAACAGAAAACAAUGGCAAUAACUGCAGCAUCGCCCCUUGAUGGCUGGUUCCUCACGUUGGUGUUUGUGAGGGACGUGUGGGUGCAUGGGUCUCACACUCUCACACAGCUACCCUUUCUUUGUGAGAUUUGGGGCUGGGGAUAGUUUGUGCAGAAUUAUAUUUCAGGAAUCUAGUGGCUGCAUUUUGGGGGGUGCACACGAGAGAGAGUAAAGACACUGUGUGCAUGAUUGACAGUGUGCCCCUGCAAUGACUCUUCGAUAACCACUGAAACCCUGGAUUUACCUAUCUUAUCUUUUUUACUCUCUUUUAACUAGAAAAGGAAAUGUACAGUGACCUAGGACUCUUUUUAGUCCUCGGUUCCAUUCGCCACAGGUGCCCAGUGUCCAUGCUGUCCUUCAGUAGUUUGCACUCUAUCUUUACCAGAGACCUCCAAAGCCCUCUCCUCUCCUUCUUCCAAGGCUGAGGAGGACAUUGGAUUCCUUCUGCACUUGGUUGUUGAUGAAACUCAUGAGGGUCUCCCAAAGAAUCAUUCCGAAGCCUGUGCCACGCACGGCCUGGGAGAACUCAAAGGCUCUCAAACCCAGGGAGUGCAAAUCUCUUCCAACAUGACCUUGCAGAACCCAAAAAAGAACAGGAAGCCUCAGAUUCCAGUGGAAAUUUCCCAUUUGGCUUUAUGCUAAAGACCCCAUCUCCAAGAUAAGAGAAGAGGAUGCCUUCACCCUCAGGCACGAGGGUGAAGCAGCCAGUGCACCCACCUAGAAGGGAUGUGCUCAUGUCUCCUUAACCCUCGUUAUUCAGACCCACUGGAAUCCCAGCUGCUUCUAAGUAUUUCAAGUAAAUGAAAAAAGUUAAGCGUUUCGAAACUUUUUUGGCCAUGCUCUUUGGUAGGUGAAUGCAUCUCCCUGGCGUCAAAAUAUGCCCUCUCAAGAACCUUCAUGACCUAGAUCAUCCAUGGUCCAGGAGUUGGUGUCACCUUGCCUUCCAGUCUCCUCCUGCGGAUCUAAAGCACAGGCAUGCACUGGGGGGAUGGAUUGCUGGGAGAGGGGCCAGGCUGGAGAUGUGGAUGGAACAGCGUAGCAAGGAGUGGGGUAGAGGUUGAAUAGGGACGUCAGACGAAUGAGUCCAACCUGCUCCUCCAUUCUGUGUCUUCAGCUGGUGAAAGGGCAGAGGCGGGGUCAGCCCUUAUGGUCAGUACAAACCCCCUCCCCACUUCUACUCUCCUGAAAGUGUUCUUAGGAAAGAGGCCAGGAGCUGUCCUUCUCUCUGGGUGAGACGCCUUGGUGUUCAGAUAGUCCAGCCAAGCCUAUCUUGGAUUAUACAGACCAGGAAAACAGCUUGACAGCCACACAAUCAUUAGUCUGGAAAGGUUUCUGUGAUAAGGCAGAAUGGCUUGAGGCAUGAGAAUGCCAGGCAGCACCUGGCAUAUAAGCUUUCAUCCCAGGGCCUCUUCCACCACUGACCCCACCCUGCCCACUCCUCUGCAUGCUUUUCUCAUGCACCAUCUGUUCCAAACAAGCCUCCACCUCCCCCAGCACCGCCUCCAUUGGCUGCAAGCCUUUGCCGCAUGGCUGAGACCACAUGCGCCACUUAUCCCAGCCUCCGCUCCACACCAGUGGGAUGAUUGGAUGUCAUUUCAACAAGGCCCUGGAAGAAGGUUGUUAAGAGCUGUCAUUUCCUUUUUCUAAACCUAUUCAUAUCAGUUGUUGUCAACCAUCAGAAUCUCGUGGACUCACGGAGAGGUGUCUGAGCCCGGGGAACAUUUGGCAUAUGGCGAGCAUGAGUGCGCUUAUGAGCUCUGCCUCAUCCCUGAUGGAGCUCUAUCAUCCACAGCCAAGCCUCCAAACUCAGUGAUUUACAAACCCCAGGCUUUUUUGGUCUGUCUCCUCCCCAGGGUGAUUCCCAAGCCCGGCUUUGCCUGGAAAGUACCAGGUGCGUUUGGUCUGGGGUUGAUGAGAUGUCUCUUUUUGUUUGGCUUUUAAAAGCCAGACAAGAAGAACACUGGGGACAUCAAACACAUUGUAGUUGCAGAUGAAGAAAUUAUUCUGAAAAAAGCUAGAUUAGCUUAGUUGUGUGUAUGUGAGUGUAUGUGAAUGUAUAUGAUAUAGAAACUAUUCAAAGGUAGGUUUCCAGGGAUUUUGCAAUGCACGUGUGUGUGUGCACACACAAACACACACAUGCACACCAAAAUACUGGCAGAGGAUCAGACUUUUGGGAAAAAUUAUGUUAUCUGAAACUCAUGCAAACACUAAGAUGACAUGUUUCUUUCCUUCAGCAGAACCCUUAUGUUUCAGUUUAAUAGGCAUUUGUUUUUGACCACACAAUAACUGAAUCCUCUUUAUAGGAGGAAUUCCCAUAUGGCAGGCUGAAAAUUCUGAUUUUUUUUUUCUCUUUUCAUGGU